rnacentral:lncRNA from 13 species
GCCUAGAAGUGGUGACGUCUUCUGCUGCUGACCUGGAGAACUUCACCUGCCCCUGAGGCUUCCUGAAGCCAGCCCACGCGGUGCAAAAGUCCAUUCCUUGAGACCUAUCUGUUGCCCAUCUGAGUGAGGCACAGGCAGCCUUGCAGGAUUUUCCUGAGUGCGUGACGAUUCGCGGGAAUUACCCAGUGCCCAGCUCGGUCCUUGGCUUAGAAAGAAAGUGUGCAGCCAGUGUUCCCCGAACCAAACCCAAGAUUUUCAAACGACCUGAAGCCCUUUGGAUGAAAGCAUUUAAAAAGUGCAAAGAAAUACUGACGACACACUGCCUGUGACGGGUGCUUUCACCUACAGAACCAACACUUUGUAUGCUGGUGUCAUUACUGCCCUCACAACGCCUGCUACUGUGGUCGAAUGACAGUGUCCCCUCCAAAAUUCAUGGUGAAAUGCAAUGCAGAGCGGCCUUUGAGAGGUCCACAAAUGAACGAACACAGCCUCUGGGUCACUACUGCCCUUCUGCCCUGACGGCAGGUACAAAACUUUGGAAUCUUGCUCAGGGCCAGCCCAGGGGCUUCCGCUCCAGGGAGUCCAGCAAACCACCAGGCUGUCCCCGCAGCCCUCCCUCCUGCCGGGUCCACGGUGCUUCCGGUGAGCCUCAGCUUGGAUCCUCGACAUCUGAGGCAGGCCCCACUUGGGGAGCUGCACAAUUUGAGCUUUGUCACGUUUAUGAAGGUAAAUUAAAAUAUUAUCACUAGAGACCUUCAAUCAUUCAGAAAAGCCUGGGACUUCUAAUGAGCAAGUGGU